AGAGUUUGAUCCUGGCUCAGGAUGAACGCUAGCGGCAGGCUCAACACAUGCAAGUCGAGGGGCAGCGGGGAGGAAGCUUGCUUUCUCCGCCGGCGACCGGCGCACGGGUGAGUAACACGUAUGCAACCUGCCCCUGUCAGGGGGACAACCCGCCGAAAGGCGGGCUAAACCCGCGUACAUGCCACCGGGGCAUCCCGGAGGCAGGAAAGGCUUCGGCCGGACAGGGAUGGGCAUGCGGCGCAUUAGGCAGUAGGCGGGGUAACGGCCCACCUAACCGACGAUGCGUAGGGGUUCUGAGAGGAAGGUCCCCCACACUGGUACUGAGACACGGACCAGACUCCUACGGGAGGCAGCAGUGAGGAAUAUUGGUCAAUGGUCGGGAGACUGAACCAGCCAAGCCGCGUGAGGGAGGAAGGUACAGAGUAUCGUAAACCUCUUUUGUCAGGGAACAAAGGCGGGGACGUGUCCCCGGAUGAGUGUACCUGAAGAAAAAGCAUCGGCUAACUCCGUGCCAGCAGCCGCGGUAAUACGGAGGAUGCGAGCGUUAUCCGGAUUUAUUGGGUUUAAAGGGUGCGCAGGCGGUCUGUUAAGUCAGCGGUCAAAGCCCGGGGCUCAACCCCGGCCCGCCGUUGAAACUGGCAGUCUCGAGUUGGAGAGAAGUAUGCGGAAUGCGCGGUGUAGCGGUGAAAUGCAUAGAUAUCGCGCAGAACUCCGAUUGCGAAGGCAGCAUGCCGGCUCCACACUGACGCUGAGGCACGAAAGCGUGGGUAUCGAACAGGAUUAGAUACCCUGGUAGUCCACGCAGUAAACGAUGAAUGCUGGCUGUCCGGGGGGAUUGACCCCUGGGUGGCGAAGCGAAAGCGAUAAGCAUUCCACCUGGGGAGUACGCCGGCAACGGUGAAACUCAAAGGAAUUGACGGGGGCCCGCACAAGCGGAGGAACAUGUGGUUUAAUUCGAUGAUACGCGAGGAACCUUACCCGGGCUCAAACGGGGAGUGACUCAGGCAGAGACGCCUGUUUCCCACGGGACACUCCCCGAGGUGCUGCAUGGUUGUCGUCAGCUCGUGCCGUGAGGUGUCGGCUUAAGUGCCAUAACGAGCGCAACCCCCGCGUGCAGUUGCUAACAGAUAACGCUGAGGACUCUGCACGGACUGCCGGCGCAAGCCGCGAGGAAGGCGGGGAUGACGUCAAAUCAGCACGGCCCUUACGUCCGGGGCGACACACGUGUUACAAUGGGUGGUACAGCGGGAAGCCAGGCGGCGACGCCGAGCGGAACCCGAAAUCCACUCUCAGUUCGGAUCGGAGUCUGCAACCCGACUCCGUGAAGCUGGAUUCGCUAGUAAUCACGCAUCAGCCAUGGCGCGGUGAAUACGUUCCCGGGCCUUGCACACACCGCCCGUCAAG
rnacentral:rRNA from 1 species